UCAAGAGCAGAAAUGUCUGACCACAAAGCAGAUGGACCUAGUAUUUUGCUGAAGUCCAACAACUAUUCAGUCAAUCAAUUUGCUCUCCUGAUAGUUAACUUGCCCAAGAAGGCUGUAAAAUAUUCAUUUCACUCCCUUAAAGUCAUUCACAAGAGACUGAAGGUUUAUAUGUCCUACUUCAAGAGGGAGCCUUGGCAUUUACCUACCUGAUGUGGAGAGAGAAGAGGACUUUUGGUGACUGGAUAGUAAACCUUAGGUACAUAAAAGGAAACUAUUUGUUAGGUCAACAAAAUGCAUCAUGACUAGAAAGCUCAUUAUCUGCAGGGUUUUGUUCUCUUGCUUCCAUUUUUUGUAGUUUGAGCCUCUUGUGCUGCCAUCCACUGAAUUCCCAUAAAUGGAACUGAACCAUAUUGGUACUGCCAUCAAGGACUGGCAUGGACGACCUGGAAAAUGCAAGUGGUUGAUGGGUUUUCAAUGGAUCCCAUUGCUAGGUGCUCUAAGAGGGCUCAAGGCUGCUCCUUUUCCAUUUUACCACUUUCAGGCAGUAUCACUCCCAACCAAGAAGAUCCUUUCCAGCACCACUGUGCAAAUGGAACUCUAAACACCUCUCUCCAGCCACAUAGAAACAUCCUGUAAACUCUAAGACAGCAUGGUUAGGCUCAAAGCUGUUCUGUUGGACUAUUGUGCUAAAUAAGACUGCUGCUAAUGGCCACCCACAAACAUGGCGACCAUAUAUAUAUUAGGACUAGUGCAGUGCUAAAGACAUUAACACAGAUUUCCUCAAUUACAUCUGAGCAGUCAAACAUAUGGGGUGUUCCUCUCACAGAGUCACACUAUUCACUGAAGAAAGCUGUAAGCCCUUGGGAAUAUCAAAGCAUCCUGGAUUGAAGAAAUAUCCAGGAAUU